UGUCAACCAAAUGCAGUUACUA
rnacentral:siRNA from 1 species